rnacentral:rRNA from 1 species
UACAGAGGGGGCGAGCGUUGUUCGGAAUUACUGGGCGUAAAGGGCGCGUAGGCGGCCUACUAAGUCGGACGUGAAAUCCCUCGGCUCAACCGAGGAACUGCGUCCGAUACUGGCAGGCUGGAAUCCGGGAGAGGGAUGUGGAAUUCCAGGUGUAGCGGUGAAAUGCGUAGAUAUCUGGAGGAACACCGGUGGCGAAGGCGGCAUCCUGGACCGGUAUUGACGCUGAGGCGCGAAAGCUAGGGGAGCAAACGGG